CGUGUAGGCGGGACGGCACGUCUGUCGCUGAAAUCCCCCGGCUUAACCGGGGAACUGGCGGAGAUACGACCGUCCUGGAGGGGCGUAGGGGGACCUGGAACUUCCGGUGGAGCGGUGAAAUGCGUUGAGAUCGGAAGGAACGCCCGUGGCGAAAGCGAGGUCCUGGACGCCUACUGACGCUGAGACGCGAAAGCCAGGGGAGCGAACG
rnacentral:rRNA from 1 species